AGCAGUGAGCCUCUCCUAACUGUUAACGUUUUGAACGGUAUAAAUACAGGUUUGGUGUUUUAAAAUUACAGUAAAAGUGGUUUCUAACUGAUACAGAAUUUAAACAUGAACCAAAGCGCAAAAUAUUUGUGCAGCAUAGUUAAGCCCUUAUUGUUGGCUAGGAAUUAGGCACGGUGCUAUCGCUAAUGCUAACUUUUAGCCAAGUUGACUGACAGAAGAACGACUAAUUAACCAAUCUUUGGCUAGCUUUAAUCUUUAUACUGGAUAGGUUGGAACUGACAGUCAGGCUAGUUUGUUGUUGAAUGUGUAUGUAGGCUAAGUUAUAAACCAAAGGUUACACACACUAAACAAACUUUAUCAUAAACAAUCUUUAUUUAUGAGUGAGCUUGAAUUAAACCUUGAUUAACACAUUCCCUUUGAUCAUAUGAUGCUGCUAAUAUUUAACAGUAGUGAUCAACUUGUGUAAUGCAGGCACUACAGUAUAGAUGCUUUAUCUUAGGUAUUCAUAUAUUUAUUUUAUAUUUAUUCUUUGACAUUUCCAGCUGCAACUCACAGCCAGAUGACCUAUUAGAGCAGAAUUUUUCCAUUUACUGCAUUGUUUUGUUUUGUUUGUAGGCCUGCUGGUUUGAACCCACUGUCAGGUUACACACACACUGACACAGAUGACACUAACAUAUUGGUUCCUCUCUUAGACAAAGAGAACAUCAAUCCAGCCGUGCGCUUUGGUUGCAGUGUCCUGUCCAUCUACUCUCCUCUAUCAAAGUGGCUCUCUUGUCUCGGGAAUUUUGAAAACUUUGCUGAGUGUAAACAAGUGUAAAAGUAAUACCACUGCACACACUGUAUUCAUUCUCCCUGAUUCACAUAAAAUUGUACCUAAACUAUAAGCAUUCGCAUUGUUUGAAUCAAUAAGUGUAUAUAUAAGUGCUUUGGUUGUUUAAACCUUUUAUAUACUGUAAUAAAUCAACCAUCAGCUGUAAGGAGAAA